AUUGAACGCUAGCGGCAGGCCUAACACAUGCAAGUCGAACGAGUGGCGGACGGGUGAGUAAUGUCUGGGAAACUGCCUGAUGGAGGGGGAUAACUACUGGAAACGGUGGCAAAUACCGCAUACCAUCAGAUCUGCCCAUAUGGGAUUAGCUGGUUGGUGGGGUAACGGCUCACCAAGGCGACGAUCCCUAGCUGGUCUGAGAGGAUGACCAGCCACACUGGAACUGAGACACGGUCCAGACUCCUACGGUAGGCAGCAGUGGGGAAUAUUGCACAAUGGGCGAAAGCCUGAUGCAGCCAUGCCGCGUGUAUGAUGAAGGCCUUCGGGUUGUAAAGUACUUUCAGCGGGGAGGCGUUACCCGCAGAAGAAGCACCGGCUAACUCCGUGCCAGCAGCCGCGGUAAUAC
rnacentral:rRNA from 1 species